rnacentral:rRNA from 1 species
UACGGGGGGAGCGAGCGUUAUUCGGAUUCACUGGGCGUAAAGGGUUCGUAGGCGGCCAAGUAAGUCAGGGGUGAAAUCUAGCGGCUCAACCGUUAAACUGCCCUUGAAACCGCUUGGCUUGAGGACAUGAGAGGAAAGGGGAAUUCUCGGUGUAGCGGUGAAAUGCGUGGAUAUCGAGAGGAACACCAGUGGCGUAGGCGCCUUUCUGGCAUGUUUCUGACGCUGAGGAACGAAAGCUAGGGGAG